UUUUUUUUUUUUCUUUUUCUUUUUCUUUGGUUCUGGGGAUUGAAUCCAGGGUACAGGGAGAUAGCUUCAUGCUAUGCUAUAGAAAUACAUUUCUGGCUCCUUAAAGUCUUUCUUGAUAUCUCUUUGUCUGUUUCUCCACUGUGGCUAUAAGAAAUGUUCUAUUCUCAACUAAGGCUUUUUUUUUUAUUUGUUUGUUUUUUGUUUGUUUGUUUGUUUUUUUGUUUUUGUUUUUGUAUUUUUGAGACAGGGUUUCUCUGUGUAGCCCUAGCUGUCCUGGAACUCACUUUGUAGACCAGGCUGGCCUCAAACUCAGAAAUCUACCUGCCUCUGCCUCCCGAGAGCUGGGACUAAAGGUGUGGGACUCCACGCCCAGCAUCUCUACUAAGUUUUAUUUAGUAUCUGUUAUAUAACUUUCCAUCAUUUAAGCCCUUGCCUCCUACUUAUUGCACAUGUGUCCUUUUUCCUUUGCUGUAUUGAAUAUUGCUUAUUAAAAGAGAAUUUUAUUCAUUUUAAUAUUUUUACAAUUAAGCUCACCUUCAGAGGUUUCUUGAGUAAAUUCUUACUGCCUGCUCCAAUUUCCUGGUUUUUUGUUUUGUUUUGUUUUUUAAUGAAAACUUUAUAUUGUGUUUACAGGUGUCUCUGUUGCUUUGGUAUAUGUGUUGUGAAAAGAGAAAUAAAUAUUAAGAUAUGUUCUAUGAGGUAUGGUGAGAUGUGGGGGAAGGGAGUGUCUCAGCGGGCCCUUGCCAAGGCAUCCCUUUCCCAUAGGGAUCAGCCACACAAUGGUAUAGUAUAGAACAGAGUUUAUUUAGGGCAUGGGGAGGGAAUUUAAGAGGGUAGUAGAGGCAGAGAAAGGCAGAGAGGGAGAGAGUAGAGAAGUAGAGGCCAGCCAUGACCACAUAGAGAGAGGGGAGAAGGGAAUGGAGAGAGAGGGGGAGCGAAAGGAUAGGAGGCAAGAGAGACAAGAGUCAGAGAGGAGGGGGCAAGCAGCCCCUUUUAUAGUGGGCCAGGCCUACCUGACUGUUACCAGGUAACUGUGGGGAAGAGCAUACCUGGCUGUUGCCAGGUAACGGGGGUGUGGUGUGGUGGAGUCCAGACAGAAUACCAAAAUAUAUAGUAUGUGAAAUCAUAAUGGACAUUUUUGGAAGUCCUUUAUAGUAAUUUUGUGAAAUAGAUACAAAUAUUGAUUACUAAAUUGAGACUCAAAGAAGUGUGACUCACUCAGAGACAUAAUUUUCCAGUCAAUUCUCUACUAGCAGAAAGCUCAUAUCUCUAAUAUCUCUGUCUCUUACACUCUGUUGUAGCCUUCUCAGACCACAAACCUCUCUCUACCUGACUUAUAUUACUUUGUAUGUAACUGAAAACAAAAAUAAUAAUAAUUGAAAAAUAAAAACCAACACCAGCAAACCAAGCAGACUUGGCCCUAGUUCCCCCUCCCCCUUUUAUUUAGCAUUUUUCAUUCACAUUUCAUUUUUGGGUUUACUUUGCUGAAGUUGCUUUUGUUUUACGAGUUUCUGCGGCAGCUUUUAGAGACAGAUGUCUAAGAGGCAAGCCUUUGUAUAGGACAAAGUCAUUAUUAGACUGCCUCUUUUUAUUUAUGGUCCUUUGUACCUUGAAGACAAAGGGCACUCUGAGUCUUGUCAAGAGAGCAUGGAGUCCAUGGAGCUGACUCCUGUUGUUACUGCCGAGAUAAUGGCUGAAUGAGCCACCAGCUUCAUUCAUAAAAUCUUCAGCAGAAUUAGCUUGAAGUGUUAGGCACAUACGAAAACAUCAAUAUGCUUUAUCAUCAAUCUGGCUUCUUCUGAUUUGAGGGGGAAAUUAGACAAAUGUAAGCCUGCUCAUCUGUCUUACAAAGCCAGCACCAGAGCUGAUUAAAGCCGGGAAGUCCAUGAAGUCAGAUAGAGGUGACGCUCUUUGCUCUGACUGUGCUUCUUUCAAAAAAAGUGGAGAUCAAAUGGAUAUGGGGUUUGAUAAAUAUUUUUAGAUAUUUAGUAAUGAAGAACGGUGAUGAUUACAUAUCAAAAAUAGCACAAACAGGCAUUUAUUUAUCUGUUCUGUCCUAUAAGUAUCUUAAUGAAUAUGCAGGAAGAAAAUCAAUAAAAAAGACUAGUUUAUGAACUGACUGUAUUAUCUGUUAUAGGCAAAUUUCUGUAUAUAUGAAAAAUAACGUGUCAAAGAGCCAGGGUAUUCAGAACCAUGAAAUAUUUCGUUUUGAUUUCUUUUUGGGCAUGUUUUAUGUAUUUCUUGAAAUAUUAAAACAGAAAGUAAUGAUUUGGAUUUUUCAUAUUUAUAGUCAGCUAUUCAUUUUAUCUUUGCACAGAAUGCAUUUGAAGAUUCUACUUAAAUUUAUUUUUGGAUCUUAAGCAAGCCAACCAUAGGCUCAUAGUAAUGCUAAAUAGUGUGUAGAUUAUGGAUGGAGAAUACCAGGUUUUCAUACUAAGCAGAUACAACAUGAGUUCCUGAUUCAGUUGAUUGACCAUUGUUUUCCAAAAUAAUUCCUUCAGAUCACUAAAACAACUACCUGCCAUAUCUGCUAAAAACCAGAUGCCCUAGAAUUUCCUCCCUCCCCCUCUAGUCACAAUUUCUAAGUGCUGUGUUAAAUCUUUGCAUUUUGACAAGUGCCUAGGUAAUUUAGGUGUGUGCUAAGGUUUGAGAUCUCCUGGUAGAGAAGAUUGCUCAGAUUGCGUGUAUUGCUUUCCUACUUAAGGUGGUUAGGUUAGGAGAUCUCUGUAGACAGGCAAGAAUCUUUUUUUUUUUUAAUAGAGUUAUUUAUGUACUUUAUGUAUGUGAGUACACUGUUGCUAUCUUCAGACACAUUGGAAGAGGCCAUUGGAUCCCAUUACAGGUGGUUUUGAGCCACCAUGUGGUUGCUGGGAAUUGAACUCAGGACCUUUGGAAGAACAGCUAGUGCUCUUAACUGCUGAGCCAUCACUCCAGCCCAAUCUGUUUUUAAUGUAAGAAUCAGCUAGAACUUUAGAGACUUGAAGCCAACCUAAUAUGUAAUUAGUGCACUAAUGAAUUAUUAGUUUCUGCUGAGGCUGAAACUUGGACUUCCACUGUAUCAAUUCUGUUGUUUGGCUCAGUACUGUAAUGCUUCUAAAAACUGUUUAGUUCCUGUUGAAGUAAGGAAAUACAGAUAAACUUGUGUUCAACUUGCUUCUGAUCCCCAUUUCCUGUCCACUCUCCUAGCCCUUUUCUAGAUGCCACUUCUUAAAAAAUUGGCCACCGGCCGUGGUGGCACACUCCUCUGCCUCCCAAGUGCAAGGCAUGCGCCACCACUGCCCGACUCAUAUAAUUUAUUUUUAAGAGAAACCCUGUCUCGAAAACC
rnacentral:lncRNA from 1 species